rnacentral:rRNA from 1 species
AGUGAACGCUGGCGGUAGGCCUAACACAUGCAAGUCGAACGGCAGCACAGUAAGAGCUUGCUCUUACGGGUGGCGAGUGGCGGACGGGUGAGGAAUACAUCGGAAUCUACUUUUUCGUGGGGGAUAACGUAGGGAAACUUACGCUAAUACCGCAUACGACCUACGGGUGAAAGCAGGGGAUCUUCGGACCUUGCGCGAUUGAAUGAGCCGAUGUCGGAUUAGCUAGUUGGCGGGGUAAAGGCCCACCAAGGCGACGAUCCGUAGCUGGUCUGAGAGGAUGAUCAGCCACACUGGAACUGAGACACGGUCCAGACUCCUACGGGAGGCAGAAGUGGGGAAUAUUGGACAAUGGGCGCAAGCCUGAUCCAGCCAUACCGCGUGGGUGAAGAAGGCCUUCGGGUUGUAAAGCCCUUUUGUUGGGAUAGAAAAGCAGCAGGUUAAUACCCCGCUGUUCUGACGGUACCCAAAGAAUAAGCACCGGCUAACUUCGUG